AGAGUUUGAUCCUGGCUCAGGACGAACGCUGGCGGCGUGCUUAACACAUGCAAGUCGAGGGGCAGCAUGUUGGUUGCUUGCAACCAACGAUGGCGACCGGCGCACGGGUGAGUAACGCGUAUCCAACCUACCCUUGUCCAUCGGAUAACCCGUCGAAAGGCGGCCUAACACGAUAUGCGGUUCACAGCAGGCAUCUAACGUGAACGAAAUGUGAAGGAGAAGGAUGGGGAUGCGUCUGAUUAGCUUGUUGGCGGGGUAACGGCCACCAAGGCUACGAUCAGUAGGGGUUCUGAGAGGAAGGUCCCCCACAUUGGAACUGAGACACGGUCCAAACUCCUACGGGAGGCA
rnacentral:rRNA from 1 species